AAGUCAAUCAUGAAUAUAUUUGUGAAUCAAGCAAGAACAUGAACUCUGAAGAUGGGGAUUACUUGCUUAAUGAACCAAUUGUAAAUGGGACUGAUGACCUUCAAUUUAGUGAUGAAGCUUUCCUUGAAGCUAAUGACCUUUCAAAUCCUGUUGAGGUUGACAGGUCUGGUUUCGACAUGCUUGAGGAAUACCUUACAAAACCAAUUGAUCUAGCUGUUCAACAGAAGUUUGAUGCUGCUGAUCAAGUCAAUCAUGAAUAUAUUGGUGAAUCAAGCAAGAACAUGAACUCUGAAGAUGGGGAUUACUUGCUUAAUGAACCAAUUGUAAAUGGGACUGAUGACCUUCAAUUUAGUGAUGAAGCUUUCCUUGAAGCUAAUGACCUUUCAAAUCCUGUUGAGGUUGACAGGUCUGGUUUCGACAUGCUUGAGGAAUACCUUACAAAACCAAUUGAUCUAGCUGUUCAACAGAAGUUUGAUGCUGCUGAUCAAGUCAAUCAUGAAUAUAUUGGUGAAUCAAGCAAGAACAUGAACUCUGAAGAUGGGGAUUACUUGCUUAAUGAACCAAUUGUAAAUGGGACUGAUGACCUUCAAUUUAGUGAUGAAGCUUUCCUUGAAGCUAAUGACCUUUCAAAUCCUGUUGAGGUUGACAGGUCUGGUUUCGACAUGCUUGAGGAAUACCUUACUUACUUUGAUGCAAACGAUGACUUCCAGAAUAUGAGUUUUGAUCCUUCAGUUUUCUUUGGAAAUGAUGAUCAAAUUUCUGAUCAAGCACUGCC
rnacentral:lncRNA from 1 species